AGUGAACGCUGGCGGUAGGCCUAACACAUGCAAGCCGAACGGCAGCACAGUAAGAGCUUGCUCUUACGGGUGGCGAGUGGCGGACGGGUGAGGAAUACAUCGGAAUCUACUUUUUCGUGGGGGAUAACGGAGGGAAACUUACGCUAAUACCGCAUACGACCUACGGGUGAAAGCAGGGGAUCUUCGGACCUUGCGCGAUUGAAUGAGCCGAUGUCGGAUUAGCUAGUUGGCGGGGUAAAGGCCCACCAAGGCGACGAUCCGUAGCUGGUCUGAGAGGAUGAUCAGCCACACUGGAACUGAGACACGGUCCAGACUCCUACGGGAGGCAGCAGUGGGGAAUAUUGGACAAUGGGCGCAAGCCUGAUCCAGCCAUACCGCGUGGGUGAAGAAGGCCUUCGGGUUGUAAAGCCCUUUUGUUGGGAAAGAAAAGCAGCAGGUUAAUACCCCGCUGUUCUGACGGUACCCAAAGAAUAAGCACCGGCUAACUUCGUG
rnacentral:rRNA from 1 species